UCCGGCUUGACGCCGGCAGUCCCCCGAGAGUCCUCAGCUUUACCUGUUAGUAACACGGGGCAAGGGUUGCGCUCGUUGCGGGACUUAAGGCAACACCUCACGGCACGAGCUGACGACAGCCAUGCAGCACCUGUGCAGGCUCCCGAAGGAGCACCGGCUUUCACCGGCUUCACCCUGCAUGUCAAGCCCUGGUAAGGUUCUGCGCGUUGCGUCGAAUUAAACCACAUGCUCCACCGCUUGUGCAGGCCCCCGUCAAUUUCUUUGAGUUUUAACCUUGCGGCCGUACUCCCCAGGCGGAUGACUUAACGCGUUAGCUGCGCCACCGAAACGCUAAGCGCCCCGACAGCUAGUCAUCAUCGUUUACAGCGUGGACUAC
rnacentral:misc_RNA from 1 species